rnacentral:rRNA from 1 species
UACAGAGGUCCCGAGCGUUGUUCGGAUUCACUGGGCGUAAAGCGUGCGCAGGCGGUGAUGUAAGACCGAUGUGAAAUCCCCGGGCUUAACCUGGGAACUGCAUCGGUGACUGCAUCGCUCGAGUAUGGCAGAGGGGGGUAGAAUUCCACGUGUAGCAGUGAAAUGCGUAGAGAUGUGGAGGAAUACCGAUGGCGAAGGCAGCCCCCUGGGUCAAUACUGACGCUCAUGCACGAAAGCGUGGGGAGCAAACAGG